rnacentral:rRNA from 1 species
AGAGCGAACGCUGGCGGCAGGCCUAACACAUGCAAGUCGAGCGCCCGUAGCAAUACGGGAGCGGCAGACGGGAUAGUAACACAUGGGAACGCGCCCUUCGGUUCGGAAUAACUCAGGGAAACUUGAGCUAAUACCGGAUACGCCCUUACGGGGAAAGAUUUAUUGCCGAAGGAACGGCCCGCGUCCGAUUAGCUAGUUGGUGAGGUAAUGGCUCACCAAGGCGACGAUCGGUAGCUGGUCUGAGAGGAUGACCAGCAUCACUGGGACUGAGACACGGCCCAGACUCCUACGGGAGGCAGCAGUGGGGAAUAUUGGACAAUGGGCGCAAGCCUGAUCCAGCCAUGCCGCGUGGAUGAUGAAGGCCUUAGGGUUGUAAAGUCCUUUUAACGGGGAAGAUAAUGACGGUACCCGUAGAAUAAGCCCGGCUAACUUCGUGCCAGCAGCCGC